rnacentral:lncRNA from 1 species
CAGGCUGAAAAAUUCUAUUGUGUGUGUGUACCACAUUUUCUUUAUCCAUUCAUCUCUUGAUGGACAUUUGGGUCGUUUCCAUAACUUGACUCUUCUUAACCUUGUUGCAGUGAACACGGGAGUGCAGAUAUCUUUUGAAGAUCCUGUUUUCAAUUCUUUUGGGUAUAUACUCGGUAGUAGGGUUGCAAAUUAAAAAUGGAGCUCUCACAGACCAUUAUUUUCUUGAUCCUUUGGUGCAUUUACUUUGGGUUGCCUAGGAACUCCUCCGUCUGUGGAUUUACCUUGUAGAGUCAGAGGGGAUGAUUGGGGAACCUGCAUGGCGAUGUGGGUUUUGAGCCUCUUUGGAAUUCAAACAAUACUGAUUUACCAGAACAAGAAAAUUUGGCUUUGGCCCCAAUACAGGCUGAGAAAGUUCAUCUUUUUAAAAGGGGCCAGUUCUUGAUUAGUUAGGGUACUGGAAUGGUCCAGGGAGGGAUAACUCAGGCCAUUUGCUUUGCCUCCUUCCCUUUCUUUCUGUCUGAUCUUUGGCCAGUUCAUGGCUUUCUAAUCCUGCCACUGGGGGAUGAAGGAAGAUUAAACUUGUGCCGUUGCCUUUGCAUGUUAUGAGCUCUCCAGAAAAAGUUUGCAUGGGAAUGGCCGAAGAUGUGCCUAGGAACUUUGUCAAGGGCUCCAUGACCAGGGUCUUUAGGAAACUCCAAAGACCUGAGAUUUCACCAGCAGAAAUGACAGCUGUUCCAAAAACAGAAAGGAGGUAAUUUCUUGUGUUUCAAAUUUCUCCAAAGGUGAGAGUUAAGACUCACUCUCAAGAUCUUUAUGUCACAUAGGUAAUGAGAGGAAGGGGUAGCAUUUUAACAGAUCACAUUCCCAAGGCCAAUCCAACGGGAGGGCUGGAAUUUGGGGAGGCUGCAGGGAGCAGGACUUUGGUGCCGCAAUCACUGGUUACCCUGUAAUAGUAUCUCAGGAGACUUUCCUGGUUACUGAGGACCAGAACUGUAGCUGAUUUUCAGCCCAAUACUUGGUGGGUUCUGUGGAGUCCAGCAUUCAAAGCCCUACCAUCGAGUGUGACUUCAGUGUCACAGGCAGAUGGUGUCACCAAGGCAUAAUGACUCCUGACCUGUGGCUCUGCUCUUCCUCCUUUCUCUUCCUCUCUCCCCUUCCCUGGGGGCCUGUGGUCCAGAGCUGCAUUCCUUUGUUAUCACACUUCCUUCCACAGACUGCACACGCCUGUUCAGGACACCAAGCUGUGUGAAAGCACUCCAGGCUGGUGGGAAUACCGCUCCCAGAAAGAAUCUGACUUGUUUCAGAAGCUUAUCUUCUGGCACUUGCUCUUCCAAAGAAAAAGGCUGCAGCAGGAGGAUAAAAGAGGCAAUCCAGGAGUGUGUGAGAUGGAGCCAGUUACAUGCAUCUCAGCCCAGGGAGGGAGUGAGGAGGGAAUGAAUGCGGCCUAAGUCCCUCACCUGCAAUGUGUAGGAGGUAAAUGAACCUGCUCACCCUCCCUCUCACCCAGCCACAUUCAGGGUCAUUUGCUGUAGCUCAGGUGGCUGCGGCUAGGGUGGGGUUGCCAGGUGGAAUAAUGGUCAUGCACAGCUGCCCCUCCACAGGGGCUGAGCCCAGGGUGGCUUCACUGGAAGAGGGUGUGGGACAAGCUGGGUAUCCUGGCUGACAUCUCUGCUAGCUGUCGGAAAGUUGAGUGAGGGAUGGGGUAGCUGUAUCUGUGUGUGUAUAUGUGAGAGAGUGUGUGUUUGCUGGGUCCUCGUAUGUGUUUGUUUCAGAUGGAUGUGUGUGGGUUUGAGGCCAGGGGAAUGGUGAGUCAGGGCAGCCCUGGGGGCAGGGAGGGGUGGGUGUGAGCAGGGCGAGUGAAGUGGCUGCAGCAGGAACAGGGGAGGCAUGCGGAACAUGGGUGGCAUGAGAGCUGACGCUACGACUGAAUGGAUUUUGAAAGGUCUUUGUCUGCCUCAAUUAAAAGGAUAGAUCCUUUUUUUCUUUAAGGCUGAAUAAAUAAUUUUUUCCCUUUUCUUCUUUGGUUCUUUUCAUAUAACAAUUUGUCAAACUCCGUCAAAAACAAACACAAACAGAAAAACCCAAAAGUCUUCUUGAAUGGGUUCAAGGUGCAGGAGGCACAGCUGAGCUGUGGGGAGCAGCGGUGCAGGAGCGGGGUGCUCGGUGGACUCUGGACCUGCUCUUGGGGCUGCUGGCCCCCUUCUUGCCCGUGUGGCCAGGGCAGCCCUUUGGAAAAGCUGUGCUGUAGCUUCAUCUUUUGUUUUGGCUUUUAUUGGCAUAUUCUUUUGUUCUCUUUAACUGCAUCCAAUCAAAUUGGCACAUCUGAGGUUCGGGAAGAUGGUUUGGAGCCAUUCCAUUACUCUGCCUAUCGAAUUCUGGGAUUUCUGCUUCCUGCCCUGUCCUGUCUUCUGUCCCCAGCUCACCCGGCCCCUACUGAUGUCAUGCUUUAUCAGCUUUCCACUGUGCAUGUAACUCUGCCUGGCAUUUGGUAUUGGGGUGGGUGUGGUGCUUUGAGAGAGGCACAGCAGAACCACUGAGAGAAAGGACGGUGUUUUUCCGUUUAGACCCUCAUUCAUCCCCUCCUUUCUCUAUUUUGCAGGUGCAGAACAUUGAGUUAUGGGGGUCCAGGGUAAACUUGGCUACCUUGGUAAACAUGGCUACAAGCUCCUUUAUAUAACUUUAGGUUUCGGGACACAGCAUGGAAACCACUACUCUAGACGACAGCCAUGUGACAUGCCUGCCCCCACUUUGCCUCCCACCACAAUUGGAAGCUUCCUGAGGCCUUCACCAGAGGCAGAUACUGGCACCAUGCUUCCUAUACAGCCUGCAGAACGGUGAGCCAAUUAAACCUCUUUUCUUACCCAACCUCAAAUAUACGUUUAUAGUAGUGCAAAUGGACUCCUACACCACUGACAGAGAUUUUGUGGCUCAUCUGAUUGCUCUUUUUUACUCUAGGGAAAUCUUUGAACACCUCAGUUUGUCAGUGGCCACAUCUGUACAACGGGCUACUGGAAAUGUGCUCACCUUCAGAAGAUGCUAUUUCAAACCCACGCAUUUGCCCUGAGCCAUCUGCUUUCUAGAUGGCCCAUCUUGUAGCAACUCAUAGAUGACUUUUUCAGAUACUUGGUUGGGGGCGGGGUCAAGACCGUGUUUUGAGAAUAGACUUUUUCCCUGUGGGAAACUGAAAGGCUUGUGGUGUAAUGAUCCCUGGCCUGGGGCCUCCUUUGCACAGUUAAUUAAUUCCAACGACAAAUAUUUACUGUGCAUCGAGCGUAGCAGGCAGUGCCCUGACUGAUUAAGAUGAUCUGAUAUGGUAAUGCAGGGUGGACUUGAGAAAUUAAUGAUUUUAAAAUGUAGUUAGCAACCUAGGGUUCUGGAGGGACAAUGCCAGACUUUCUUCUGGUGUUCAAACCGUCCCAGACUGUGAAGGAACUGGUCCGUGAUGUCUGCCUGGGCUGCUUUGCCUCUGCUCCAUAGCUGAGGGAAGGGGCAGCUCUUGGCUCUCUGCCAGUGUUUGUAAUCCGCACAGCAGGCUCCCAUGUCUUCUGGGUGGGCCUGCAUCUUUUGUUACAUAUUUGUCCCCGAAUCCAGACCACUUCUGAGCUCUCUGGGGAGAAUGUGCCCAAGAGCUGUUCAGUGGGGUGGGCAGGCUGGUGGAAGUCCUCAAGCCUAAUUUGUUCCGCUUCCCUUCAGCCCUUCAGUCCUAAUUCAUUUGUUUGUAUUUGGGGGAAAAAAAAUCUCUCAUUAUUGUCUAUCCUUUAUUUCCUGGAAUUCAACAUGAAAGUUGUCAUUGUUUUAGUUUGUGGCCUCCAAAGAAAUAAACCAUUUGAGCAACAACUGCAACAAUAGCAACAAUUCUUCAUGGCAUGGGCGUCAGACCGGUUGACUUUGGAAUCUAGGUGUCCAUUUUGUUAGAAUUGAAUGUGCACUGGGUUUGGGGUGGGUGUGAGGGAGGCUGUAUUUAUUUUUGAACUUCUUUCGCCCAUAAUGAAAACCAGCUGCCUCUCCAACAAGUGCAUUACUCUUCCCAUAGAAAGCCUCAUGGACAGACUGAAGCUACAGGGGUGGCAAGUCACAUAGAUGGAUGUUUCUAAUUUGAUCUAGUGAGCUUCACCCUCUAUCUCUCGGUCCUCCAGUCCUUGCUCGUGGGUUGAUGGACACCUUGUCUCCUUCCAUACUUGUGGAACCUAGGGGUACUUUUAGUUAGUGGAGGAGAAAUGUGUCUCUUCUCCCCACUGAUUCGCCAGGGUGGACAUGGAGGGGACCUCCCCACCCUGGGAAAGGUGGCCCCAUUCAGCUUGAGUCUGGAGUGAGACCAAACUUUCCUGCCUGCUGCAUACAACUUCAACUCCAAGUCCAAGCUGGGCCCGUUAUUUUGGCUGCUUGGAGAACAUUCCUUCCCAUGUGCUGAUGCAUCAGGGUAUCUCCAGCUUCCUUU